CAGCCGUAAACUAUGCGCGUUAGGUGUAUCGGUGACCACGAGUCACCGAGGUGCCGAAGGGAAACCGUGAAACGUGCCGCCUGGGAAGUACGGUCGCAAGGCUGAAACUUAAAGAAAUUGGCGGGGGAGCACCACAACGGGUGGAGCCUGCGGUUUAAUUGGACUCAACGCCGGGAAGCACACCGGAUAAGACAGCGGAAUGAUUGCCGGGCUGAAGACUCUGCAUGACUAGCUGAGAGGUGGUGCAUGGCGUAGACGUCU
rnacentral:rRNA from 1 species